rnacentral:rRNA from 1 species
ACAGAGGGGGCAAGCGUUGCUCGGAAUCACUGGGCGUAAAGGGCGCGUAGGCGGCUUGGCAAGUGGAUGGUGAAAUCCCUCGGCUUAACCGAGGAACUGCCGUCCAAACUGCUUUGCUUGAGACCGGGAGAGGUGAGUGGAGUUCCCAGUGUAGCGGUGAAAUGCGUAGAUAUUGGGAGGAACACCAGUGGCGAAGGCGGCUCACUGGACCGGUACUGACGCUGAGGUGCGAGAGCGUGGGGGGCGAACCGGA